CCGUCACUGCAAAUGGUCAUGUUUACUACACAAACUAAUCAAUUACGAAUAUGUGACGUGUUCAAAUACAGUGAAAAAGUGUGGAAAGUACAAAAUGUAUUUAUUACAAUUCAAUAACAUUUAUAUACUCUCAAUACAGUGUACCUUUUCGGAUUAAUGCUAUAGCUGUAAUAUUACCUAUAUGUACCAUGGUAUGCAAUAAAUGAUUUGUGUGUCAUUUUCAACCUAAAGGAUACUAAUAGUCGGUUGUCAGCAAGGCGCUCUUCCCAUAAUAGUUUCAAGAUGAAAUCGAUCUUAUCGACCACUGAUAAUGCGGUACCUUUUGAUUGAAAAUGUCACAAUUAGUUUUCAACUUAGGACAGCAGUAAUGUGAGGUCUAAGAAUUUGUUUCAUAAAGUGUUAAUAAUCGGCCGAGAUGGACGUGAGGAAUCGCUACCAUCGCCAGAAAUGUUGUUGUGUACGAGUGGAGAAGAUAUGUUAUAUUUUUGCCAUAAUUAACGUAAUCAUCAUAAUCCUCUCAGUCCUCGCCUGCAUCGCCACAGAAGCGCUCAUCGUGACCAGACUGGCAAUCAGUGUCAUUCAGAUCAACUUCUCACAAUUCUUGCCUACUUGGAUCGUCAUAUUGCCUAUUUACGCUGUAGCCUGCUUCCUGAUAGUUUCUGCGGUUUUUGCAGUGUUAUUGCUUCAAGGAAUUCGUUUGAGCAAGCCUAAACUGGUCCUGGCGUACCUAUUUUUCGGAUUGGUCGUGGAAACAAUAAUGAUCUUCUCUGCUGCCAUCUCCAUAGCCUUCGUCACGGUUAUAAGAGUCCCUGGACAAAAUAAUGACCUUAUAAAUUUUGGAAUAGCUCUGGCAUUCGGUAUAUGUGCUACACAUUACGUUUAUCAAGAGUCAUGCGUUGUAUUCCAGUGGAGGCGAUAUGUUUCUUCCAUGGAAUCAUCAACUGUGUGCUGUCUAUAUUCGGUGUGGUGACCCUGUCGCUGGCCCGGAUUAUUUUGGAUCCUGGAGAAGUUUUCGUGGAUAGUAUAAAUAACUCCGGUUUCCAAGACGGAUAUGACCUCUCACCGGACAAUCCAAUGAACGCCUACCCGGAGCUGGCAGCAUUUCCUCUGACCGCAUACGGGCUCGUUCUCUACGCCUUCUGUUUUGGAUCGUUCAUCUUCUCGUUACUUCUCUGCUAUGGGAUACACAA
rnacentral:misc_RNA from 1 species